rnacentral:rRNA from 27 species
GUGGGUUGCAAAAGAAGUAGGUAGCUUAACCUUCGGGAGGGCGCUUACCACUUUGUGAUUCAUGACUGGGGUGAAGUCGUAACAAGGUAACCGUAGGGGAACCUGCGGUUGGAUCACCUCCUUACCUGAAAGAAGC